GGUGGGUUGGCUCAGUGGUUAGAGCGUAGGUCUCAUAACCGAAAGGUUACGAGAUCGAAUCCUAGAUCUCGUAACCUUUC
rnacentral:tRNA from 1 species